rnacentral:rRNA from 1 species
UAGGGAAUAUUCGACAUGGGCGAAAGUCUGAUCUAGCAACCCCGCGUGUGCGAAGGAGGCCUUCGGGUCGUAAAGCACUUUUUGGCAGGAAUAGGAAGGAAUGUACUUCCAGAAUAAGUCUCGGCUAACUACGUGCCAGCAGCCGCGGUAACACGUAGGAGGCAAACGUUAUCCGGAUUUACUGGGCGUAAAGCGCGUGUAGGUGGUACUGUAAGUAGGGCGUGAAAGCUCCUGGCUCAACUGGGAGAGGCCGUUCUAAACUACAGAACUAGAGGAUGGUAGAGGGAGGUGGAAUUCCAGGUGUAGCGGUGGAAUGCGUAGAUAUCUGGAGGAACACCGGUGGCGAAGGCGGCCUCCUGGACCAUUCCUGACACUCAGACGCGAAAGCUAGGGUAGCAAACG